UGGGAGCACGUUGCCAAGUAUGGUC
rnacentral:miRNA from 1 species